rnacentral:rRNA from 1 species
GGGUUGUGAGGUUAAGCGACUAAGCGUACACGGUGGAUGCCCUGGCAGUCAGAGGCGAUGAAGGGCGUGCUAAUCUGCGAUAAGCGCCGGUAAGGUGAUAUGAACCGUUAUAACCGGCGAUACCCGAAUGGGGAAACCCAGUGUGAUUCGUCACACUAUCAUUAACUGAAUCCAUAGGUUAAUGAGGCGAACCGGGGGAACUGAAACAUCUAAGUACCCCGAGGAAAAGAAAUCAACCGAGAUUCCCCCAGUAGCGGCGAGCGAACGGGGAGGAGCCCAGAGCCUGAAUCAGCAUGUGUGUUAGUGGAAGCGUCUGGAAAGGCGCGCGAUACAGGGUGACAGCCCCGUACACAAAAGCGCAUGUGCUGUGAGCUCGAUGAGUAGGGCGGGACACGUGGUAUCCUGUCUGAAUAUGGGGGGACCAUCCUCCAAGGCUAAAUACUCCUGACUGACCGAUAGUGAACCAGUACCGUGAGGGAAAGGCGAAAAGAACCCCGGCGAGGGGAGUGAAAAAGAACCUGAAACCGUGUACGUACAAGCAGUGGGAGCACAGGUUUACCUGUGUGACUGCGUACCUUUUGUAUAAUGGGUCAGCGACUUAUAUUCUGUAGCAAGGUUAACCGAAUAGGGGAGCCGGAGGGAAACCGAGUCUUAAUUGGGCGUUAAGUUGCAGGGUAUAGACCCGAAACCCGGUGAUCUAGCCAUGGGCAGGUUGAAGGUUGGGUAACACUAACUGGAGGACCGAACCGACUAAUGUUGAAAAAUUAGCGGAUGACCUGUGGCUGGGGGUGAAAGGCCAAUCAAACCGGGAGAUAGCUGGUUCUCCCCGAAAGCUAUUUAGGUAGCGCCUCGUGAAUUCAUCUCCGGGGGUAGAGCACUGUUUCGGCUAGGGGGCCAUCCCGGCUUACCAACCCGAUGCAAACUGCGAAUACCGGAGAAUGUUAUCACGGGAGACACACGGCGGGUGCUAACGUCCGUCGUGAAGAGGGAAACAACCCAGACCGCCAGCUAAGGUCCCAAAGUCAUGGUUAAGUGGGAAACGAUGUGGGAAGGCCCAGACAGCCAGGAUGUUGGCUUAGAAGCAGCCAUCAUUUAAAGAAAGCGUAAUAGCUCACUGGUCGAGUCGGCCUGCGCGGAAGAUGUAACGGGGCUAAACCAUGCACCGAAGCUGCGGCAGCGACGCUUAUGCGUUGUUGGGUAGGGGAGCGUUCUGUAAGCCUGUGAAGGUGUGUCGUGAGGC